UAUCACUUAGCAAAUUCAGAUUUGCUAUAUUAAUGAAUUUUGAUUGUUUUCACUAAAGAUUUGUCAUAUUAUUAUGAGGAUUGAUAAAUAGACACACAAUUUUAGACACAUAUACAACACCAUGGGCAAAACAGUAAUUUUGGUGUGAACUAGAGGGGUAAUUUGGUAACACCACUCCCUUAUUCUCAUUUUCUAUUUCUCCUUCUUCUCUUCCCGUGAGUCAAUCUCUUCUUCUCUCCAGUAUCUGCAAUCACACUGCUUUUCACCAUCACCGUCAUCACCACCACCAUCACCGUCCUCGUCAGUCACAACCGCCGCCGUCCUCACUGCACCCUCCAUCCUAACCAUUCCUUCUCAUCUUUUGUGUCGUCUUCCUCACCACCGCAACCACCAUCAAUCUAUUCAGAUCUGCUCUCGCCUUCGCCGGUGACAUCCUCUUCUCCCUCACACCGCCGACGACCGUCAUAUCACUAAAACCACACCGGUGACAACUUUUCCAAAAACAACACCUUCCGAUAAUCUUCUCUACGAACCUGUCAGUGACGAUGUCGGUGGGAUAACGGACGACUGGAUCGGAGACGACCGGAGUGAGAGACCGGAAAUCCAGUACCUCAUCGCCGGAACAUUUCAAUUGAGACCGGAGUGUUGCUGCAGAGAGCUUUGGAUAAAGAAAACAUGGUUUUGUACUGCACUUGGUAAAGGAAGGAGACGGUGGUUAAAGGCAAGGAAGAGAAGAAAAAUAAAUAAAAAAAUAAAUUAAAAAAAAGUAUUAAGCAACAGUGAAUAUACGGAUGGUGUCGUAUAUGUGUCUCAACUUUUGUGUUCAGUUAUCAUUAUUGUAUUAUUAUUACAGUACUUUUGGUUAGUUUUAGCUUUUUUUUUUCCCUAAAAAAACAAACUUCUUUUCUUUUAUAAUGUUUCAACUUUCAUUAGUGUACUUAUCAAAACAAAAUAUUAAACUCUUGUAAUUAAAUUCCAUACGGCGUGAUUUCAGUUCUUAGAAUAAAUAUAAUGAUUUGCACCAUUGAU
rnacentral:lncRNA from 1 species